rnacentral:rRNA from 1 species
UACGGGGGGGGCAAGCGUUGUUCGGAAUUACUGGGCGUAAAGGGCUCGUAGGCGGCCAACUAAGUCAGACGUGAAAUCCCUCGGCUUAACCGGGGAACUGCGUCUGAUACUGGAUGGCUUGAGUUUGGGAGAGGGAUGCGGAAUUCCAGGUGUAGCGGUGAAAUGCGUAGAUAUCGGGAGGAACACCGGUGGCGAAGGCGGCGACCUGGGUCGAGACUGACGCUGAGGCGCGAAAGCGUGGGGAGCAAACAGG